GCGGUACUCAAACUAUGGGGGCACUUUUUUUUUUCUUUAAAAAGUGCCGCCUAGUUUUAAGCCCCGC
rfam:Mus musculus chromosome 7, GRC primary reference assembly.